UACGUAGGUGGCAAGCGUUGUUCGGAAUUAUUGGGCGUAAAGGGCGCGUAGGCGGCAUGUUAAGUCGGCUGUGAAAGCCUGGGGCUCAACCCCAGAGGGUCGGCCGAUACUGGCAAGCUAGAGUACGGAAGAGGUAGCUGGAAUUCCCGGUGUAGCGGUGAAAUGCGUAGAUAUCAAGAGGAACACCAGUGGCGAAGGCGAGUCCCUGGACGAUACCUGACACUGAGGCACGAAAGCUAGGGGAGCAAACAGG
rnacentral:rRNA from 1 species